GUGUCAGCAGCCGCGGUAAGACGUAGGAGGCGAGCGUUGUCCGGAUUCAUUGGGCGUAAAGAGCACGCAGGCGGUUUGGUAAGUCGGAUGUGAAAACCCGGAGCUCAACUCCGGGCCUGCAUCCGAAACUGCCCGACUAGAGGUAGGUAGGGGAGAUCGGAAUUCCUGGUGUAGCGGUGAAAUGCGCAGAUAUCAGGAGGAACACCGGUGGCGAAGGCGGAUCUCUGGGCCUUACCUGACGCUCAGGUGCGAAAGCUAGGGGAGCGAACAGGAUUAGAAACCCCCGUAGUCC
rnacentral:rRNA from 1 species